rnacentral:rRNA from 2 species
UACGAGUGCCUCAAGCGUUAUCCGGAAUCAUUGGGCGUAAAGGAUGUGUAGGUGGUUGUGUUAGUCUUGUGUUAAAUUCUUCGGCUUAACCGGGGGCAUGCACGGGAAACGGCACGACUAGAGGAUGCGAGGGGUCUGCGGAACUCAUAGUGUAGCGGUGAAAUGCGUUGAUAUUAUGGGGAACACCAAAAGCGAAGGCAGCAGACUGGAGCACUCCUGACACUGAAACAUGAAAGCGUGGGUCGCGAAUGGG